CUUUGUCCGGACUCUAAUUCAAAUUGUAUUCAUCCGAUCUUCACCAACUUGGUCAGCAGUUGCAUCUAGUUGAUAUCUAGGCCAAGUUCGAAUAUGGGUCAUGCCGGGUCAAAAACUAGGUCAUAGGGUCAAUUAGUGCAUUUUCAACGGCGCCACUUUGUCCGGACUCUAAUUCAAAUUGUAUUCAUCCGAUCUUCACCAAACUUGGUCAGCAGUUGCAUCUAGUUGAUAUAUAGGCCAAGUUCGAAUAUGGGUCAUGCCGGGUCAAAAACUAGGUCAAAGGGUCAAUUAGUGCAUUUUCAACGGCGCCACUUUGUCCGGACUCUAAUUCAAAUUGUAUUCAUCCGAUCUUCACCAAACUUGGUCAGUAGUUGCAUCUAGUUGAUAUCUAGGUCAAGUCCGAAUAUGGGUCAUGCUGGGUCAAAAACUAGGUCAAAGGGUCAAUUAGUGCAUUUUACUUUGUCCGGACUCUAAUUCAAAUUGUAUAAAUCUUAUCUUCACCAAACUUGGUCAGUAGUUGCAUCUAGUUGAUAUCUAGGCCAAGUUCGAAUAUGGGUCAUGCCAGGUAAAAAACUAGGUCAUAGGGUCAAUUAGUCCAUUUUCAACAGCGCCACUUUGUCCGGACUCUUAUUCAAAUUGUAUUCAUCCGAUCUUUACCAAACUUGGUCAGUAGUUGCAUCUAGUUGAUAUCUAGGUCAAGUUCGAAUAUGGGUCAUGUCGGGUCAAGAACUAGGUCAUAGGGUCAAUUAGUGCAUUUUCAACGGCGCCACUUUGUCCGGACUCUAAUUCAAAUUGUAUUCAUCCGAAACUUUUAAACAACUUUUUAUCCUGCGUCAAAGUGGUAUGGGGGUAUAAGUCACAUUCAGUGACAAAGCUCUAGUUCAAGUUGAAUUCACCAAACUUGGUCAGAGGUAGUAUAUAGAUUAUAUAUCAGUCAGGUCUGAUUGGAGACAUGCAACCGAUUAACACAUGCAAUAUUUUUAUGCAAUAUUUUUAUCCAGUUUUAUUUUGCGAUAUUUUCAUCGGGUUUAUUUUUUUCGCGAUUUUUGAAACGAGUUAUUUUUAACAACAUGUUUAUUGGUAAGUUUCAUUUUUCCUUCAAUCUAAUCAUGAUUUCCACAGGUACAUGAGUUUUUCACUGUGCAUGGGUACUAUAGAAAGGCAACUGUUUAUCAUUGUCAUCAACCUAAAAUCAAUUUUUUAAAUUGAUUUUAUGCUUAUACACAAGGAAAUUUUCAAUUCUUUCUCAUAUCAUCGGUCAACAAUAGACUUGAUCUUCACGAAUAUGAUAACUGCGCGAACUGGUGUACUUGAAACUUAUUCCUCAGACAACAAAGCCAUCUGGAUUUGGAUUUACAAUCAGAAUGUAAGUUGAAUAAAAGCAUUUAUAGAGACCCAUUACCUAAAAAAAAAGCAAAAUCCAUUUAUUCCUUAAAAAGGUUUCAAGUAUGUGUUAUAGGUUAUUGUAACUUACAUCAUGUCCAUUAUCAUCGCAAUUGACCCAGCCAAAAUGCCUUAUACAGGUUUAUGAUUAUCAAUUUAAUACACUUCAUUUACAUUUAUCAUCCGCUGAACACUUAUCGAACUUGAUAGCAAUAAAAACCGCUAUAAGCAUCUUAUAAAGGUGAAUUACAGACAGCCUUGGUAUUCAUGCUGAUAUAAAAUGUAAAAGCAAACAGUAUUUAAACAUUCAAACCAAAUAUUUAUUUCAGUUUUUAGGGAACUAAUUUCAAGAUAAGUAAUAUCAGUACAGGAAAUACUGCCAUUCUAUACCUAUGUAGGUCUAAACAAUUAUGAUUUAAAUAUUGUGUUUUAGAGAACAAAUGAGACUAAGUGUACACUUAUUGAUAUCAAUGCAUAUAUAUGAAUAUAUCAGUUAUAUAAGU